rnacentral:misc_RNA from 1 species
GCGGCCACCGUGUGGGUUUUCAGGGUUGGGCGAGUCUACCGCGCCCUCGAGCAUCCAGGCCUGGCGCCGCUUGUUGUGAACAAGCCGCGGGUAGUAGUCGCCUUUGUACAGAUACUCGAGAACGCAGGAGAAGAUUUCGGGUUCUUCCGAUGGCAGAUCGAUGCGUCGGGAGUUGGAUUCGAAGAACUGGCCCCGCAACGCCGUCGCAAAGAACGGCGAGUGGCACAGUACGUCUUCGUGCGCGGCGAACAGUCGUUGGUCAGGGCCAACCACGAUAGUGACCGGGGAACCACUCUCCAUCAUCGGACUGUCCAUCCGGCUGUCCAUCUUCUCGAUCAUCUGCUUCUGCUUGGUUGUCUCUCGGAACGAUCUCUUCGGCUGUUUUGUUAUCUUGCCCGAGCGGUCUUUUGGGCUUGCAAAAGAGCGUUUGAACAUGUUGGACGAAGAGAGUGAUCGUAACGAGCGACGGAAGGCUGAGAAAAGAGCGUGAGGGUUAGUUUGACGCAGCUUGCAUUCGUGGGAGCACUGGAAGCUCUCAAAACCAGCAAUUUCGGAUUGGAAAGUGCUGAGAUCGAGAAGCUUUGCGUGAAUCAACCUGUGGAAGAUUCAGGCGCAGGUUUUGUCUGGCUCUGGCUUGUCG